CGAAGGGAGCAAGCGUUGUCCGGAUUUAUUGGGCGUAAAGAGCGUGUAGGCGGCCAGACAGGUCCGUUGUGAAAACUGGAGGCUUAACCUCCAGACGUCGAUGGAAACCGUCUGGCUAGAGUCCGGAAGAGGAGAGUGGAAUUCCUGGUGUAGCGGUGAAAUGCGCAGAUAUCAGGAAGAACACCCGUGGCUAAGGCGGCUCUCUAGUACGGUACUGACGCUGAGACGCGAAAGCGUGGGAGCGAAUAGGAUUAGAUACCCUGGUAGUCCACGCCGUAAACGAUGGGUGCUAGGUGUGGGGGGUGUCGACUCCCCCCGUGCCGAAGCUAACGCAUUAAGCACCCCGCCUGGGGAGUACGGCCGCAAGGCUA
rnacentral:rRNA from 1 species